GACGAACGCUGGCGGCGUGCCUAAUACAUGCAAGUCGAACGCUCAAGCUUGGUGCUUGCCCCGAGCGGAUGAGUUGCGGACGGGUGAGUAACGCGUAGGUAACCUGCCUGGUAGCGGGGGAUAACUAUUGGAAACGAUAGCUAAUACCGCAUAAGAGUAGAUGUUGCAUGACAUUUGCUUAAAAGGUGCAAUUGCAUCACUACCAGAUGGACCUGCGUUGUCUUAGCUAGUUGGUGAGGUAACGGCUCACCAAGGCAACGAUACAUAGCCGACCUGAGAGGGGUGUCGGCCACACUGGGACUGGGACACGGCCCAGACUCCUACGGGGAGCAGCAGGAGGGGAUCUUCGGCAAUGGACGGAAGGCUGACCGAGCAACGCCGCGGGAGGGAAGAAGGGUUUCGGAUCGGAAAGCUCGGUUGUAAGAGAAGAACGAGUGGGAGAAGGGAAAGUUCACACUGUGACGGUAGCUUACCAGAAAGAGACGGCUAACUACGUG
rnacentral:rRNA from 1 species